rnacentral:rRNA from 1 species
CAAUACAUGCAUCAAGCCCUGGCCGUCCGGUUAGGGUGCAAUUAUUGGAGCAAAACCAGUCUCGUACUGUUUGCUAACUCAGGAUAAUUCUGCAUAUCGCAUGGUCUUGUACCGGCGAAGUUUCUUUCAAGUAUCUGCUUUAUCAACUAUCGUUGGUAGUUUAUUGGUCUACCAUGGUGUUGACGGGUAACGGAGAAUCAGGGUUUGACUCCGGAGAGGGAGCCUUAGAAACGGCUACCAUGUCUAAGGAUAGCAGCAGGCGCGAAAAUUACCCAAUAUCAAAACGAUGAGGUAGUGACGAGAAAUAACAAGAUCGUUCUCUUUGAGAUCGAUUAUUGGAAUGAGUACAAUCCAGAAAUUUUAACGAGUACCUACGAGAGGGCAAGUCUGGUGCCAGCAGCCGCGGUAAUUCCAGCUCUCGUAAUGUAUAGAAUUAUUGUUGCGAUUAAAAAGUUCGUAGUUGGAUUGCAACGCAGGUAUGGGUCCACCCUCUGGGUGCGUACUCAAUGCUUGCAUUUUGCAUGUUUUUGUGGCGUCGCUUCGGUGGCGUUCAUGAUGCAUGCAGGAUUACUUUGAACGGCUCAAGUGCUUAAAGCAAGUCUUAUGACUGAAUACCGGUGCAUGGAAUAAUGGAACAAGGUUGUGGCUGAGUUUUAUUGGUUUUGUCGGCUAAAACAAUGGUUAACAGGAACAGCCGGGGGCAUUCGUAUCGCUGCGCGAGAGGUGAAAUUCGUGGACCGUAGCGAGACGUCCUACAGCGAAGGCAUUUGCCAAGAGUGUUUUCAUUAAUCAAGAACGAAAGUCAGAGGUUCGAAGGCGAUUAGAUACCGCUCUAGUUCUGACCGUAAACGAUGCCAACUGUCGAUCCGCUUGUGGAUUUUAUUCAUGAGCGGGGAGAUUUCCGGAAACGAAAGUUUUUCGGUUUCGGGGGAAGUAUGGUUGCAAAGCUGAAACUUAAAGGAAUUGACGGAAGGGCACCACCAGGAGUGGAGCUUGCGGCUUAAUUUGACUCAACACGGGAAAUCUCACCCGGCCAGUACAUCGUAAGGAUUGACAGACUGACAGCUCUUUCAUGAUUCGGUGAAUGGUGGUGCAUGGCCGUUCUUAGUUCGUGGAUUGAUUUGUCUGGUUUAUUCCGAUAACGAACGAGACUUUAACUAUUAAAUAGUGCGCAUGUUGCUUCGGCUGCGUGUGAUCACUUCUUAAAGGAAUUUGUGGUUUUCAACCUCAAGAAAUUGAGCAAUAACAGGUCUGUGAUGCCCUUAGAUGUUCGGGGCCGCACGCGUGCUACAAUGGUGGUAACAGCGUGAUUGUCCUUUUCCGACAGGAAUUGGCAAACAGUUGAGAUAUUAUUAUGGCUGGAAUUGAGUGUUGAAAUUUUCUCUCAUGAACGAGGAAUUCCAAGUAAAUGUGAGUCAUUAACUUGCAUUGAUUACGUCCCUGCCCUUUGUACACACCGCCCGUCGCUGCCCGGGACUGAGUUACUUCGAGAAAACUAGGGAUCGCUGGAGUUCGAUGUUUCGGCAUUGUCUUUGGUGAGAACUAGUUUAAUCGCAGUGGCUUGAACCGGGCAAAAGUCGUAACAAGGUAGCCGUAGGUGAACCUUCGGCUGGAUCAUUA